rnacentral:lncRNA from 1 species
UCACGAAAAGCGAAUAAAGUAAUUUUUUUUUAAUAAAGGCUUGUAGAAAAAAGAUUAAAUGCUAGAAUUAAGGGUUACAAGUCACAUCUAUUUCUUAGAUAGAAUGAAUGGGUUAAAAAUGGUUGAAAAUAGUGUGAGGUCUACUUAUAAUACAUACAUCAUUAUUGUAUGAAAUAUCGUAUUUGGGAUCAUAAGUACACAUCAUACACAUCAGUUAUUUAUCUAAAAAACAUACAAAUUUGUGGGUCGAACCAGCCGAACAACGUGUUCUGACUCAUUACCCAAAUUGCAAAAUCUUGUCACCUCUAGAGAAGGCGUUGGCAGAUAAAAUCGCUUCCUCUAAUAUAUAGUUGGUUAAUAAACAUGCUAAAAACUUAGUA